rnacentral:rRNA from 1 species
UACGGGGGGGGCAAGCGUUGUUCGGAAUUACUGGGCGUAAAGGGCUCGUAGGUGGCCAACUAAGUCAGACGUGAAAUCCCUCGGCUUAACCGGGGAACUGCGUCUGAUACUGGAUGGCUUGAGUUUGGGAGAGGGAUGCGGAAUUCCAGGUGUAGCGGUGAAAUGCGUAGAUAUCUGGAGGAACACCGGUGGCGAAGGCGGCUUUCUGGUCUGUAACUGACGCUGAGGCGCGAAAGCGUGGGGAGCAAACAGG